rnacentral:siRNA from 1 species
CAGAGGAUAUGCAGCCAGCCCUG